AGCGAACGCUGGCGGCAGGCCAAACACAUGCAAGUCGAACGAACCCUUCGGGGUUUGUGGCGGACGGGUGAGUAACACGUGGGAACGUGCCUUUAGGUUCGGAAUAACUCAGGGAAACUUGUGCUAAUACCGAAUGUGCCCUUCGGGGGAAAGAUUUAUCGCCGUUAGAGCGGCCCGUGUCUGAUUAGCUAGUUGGUGAGGUAAAGGCUCACCAAGGCUACGAUCAGUAGCUGGUCUGAGAGGAUGACCAGCCACAUUGGGACUGAGACACGGCCAAAACUACGACGGGAGGCAGCAGUGGGGAAUCUUACGCAAUGGGAGAAAGCCUGACGCAGCCAUGACGCGUGGAUGAUGAAGGUCUUAGGAUUGUAAAAUCCUUUCACCGGUGAAGAUAAUGACUGUAGCCGGAGAAGAAGCCCCGGCUAACUUCGUGCCAGCCGCCGCCGCCGUAA
rnacentral:rRNA from 1 species